GAACGAGAGAGAGAGAAGUGGGGCGGCGUCCGACGAGGAGCUCUCCUUGCUCUUCGUCAAAAUCUAGGGUCUUGGAAUCGAUCUCUUCUCCCGAGAGAAACCGACUAUAUUUUGAUCUCAGUUGCUCUUUUCUGGUGGCAUUGUGCUUUAAAUGUAAUAUAGCCGAUUUUCAUGUGACAAUAUGGAGGAAGAGGAUGAGGACAAACUUUUGUUGAGUAGUUUGGGCAUCGCAUCUGCGAAGCCAGAAGAUAUUGAACGUAAAAUAUUGUCAGAGGCAAAAAGUGAUGCUAAGUGUGGUAGUGAAUCUGAGGUCUGCUCUGAGGAGCAUGGGCUCGAUGGAGAGCCUGAAACUGGUACAUCAUCUACCGGCCGAGUUAAACUUUAUAAUAGAUUACGGGCAGUAGAAAUUGAGAUUGAUGUCGUAGCUUCUAGCAUUGAAGCGGUUAAAGAUGUUGCAGACAAUGAGAAUGACCAUACAGGUAACACAGAUAUUAAAGAGGAUAAUGCUAAGGGAAAUGCUGAUGGUUCUGGUCAAGUUACAUGCAAUGGAUUAACUCUGCAGCAGGCACUAGCAACUGACCGUUUAAGAAGCCUCAAGAAAACAAAGGCUCAACUUCACGAAGAAAUCUCUAAGCUUGAUGAGAAUGCCGCUUCCGAGGACAUUGGACAUGAGAAGCUACUUGCCGAGCUGGUUGAAGAGAAUCCAAAGCGCAAGAGGAAAUCAAAAGCAGUUGAACAGUCUAAUAGGGAUUCAAAAAGUCAUUUGAAAACUGUUGCUUAUGAUGAAGAUGCUGAUUUUGAUGCAGCGCUGGACACAGCCUCAACUGGAUUUGUUGAAACUGAAAGGGAUGAAUUGAUCCGUAAAGGAAUAUUAACUCCAUUUCAUAGGAUUAAAGGCUUUGAGCGUCGUGUUCAACAACCUGCACCAUCAAAUAGGCACGUGCCUGAGGAAAGCGCGGCUGAAGAUCAUGCUUCAGCUAGCAUAGCUAGAGUUGCUCAAUCAAUAUCAGAUAUAGCACGGAGCCGCCCAACAACCAAAUUGCUUGAUGCUGAGGCUUUACCUGGACUUGAUGCACCAACCCAUCCUUUUCAAAGACUUAAAGCACCCUUGAAACGUCCGGUCUCUCCAAAAGGAAAGGAGUUAGAGAAGAAAAAACGAAAGCUGAGAAGGUCCAAGAGACCUUUACCUAGCAAGAAAUGGAGAAAUGUAGAUUCAAAGGAGAAACUGCCCGAUGGAAGUGAUGAAGAUUCAGGGGGAGACUUAAUUGCCACAGAUUAUGGGGAAGAAACUCAAGAAGAGGAGAAUGCAGAUGAUGGGGAGCAGUCUUCUGUAAUCCUUGAAGGAGGAUUGAAAAUUCCUGCUUCCAUUCAUAAGAACCUUUUUGAUUAUCAAAAAGUGGGGAUACAAUGGCUGUGGGAGCUGCACUGCCAAAGAGCUGGUGGCAUUAUAGGAGAUGAAAUGGGUCUGGGCAAGACUGUGCAGGUGAUAUCAUUUCUUGGUGCUCUACAUUUCAGUAAAAUGUAUAAACCCAGCAUUGUUGUUUGUCCAGUCACACUUCUGCGACAGUGGCAGCGGGAAGCUCGAAAAUGGUACCCUAACUUCAAAGUUGAGAUACUGCAUGAUUCUGCACAUGGUUUAAAUAAACAGAUGGUGGCAAAGUCAAGUGAAAGCGAUUAUGAUAGUGAAGAUUCCAUGGAUACUGAUAAUGAAAGACCUCGCCCUGCUAAGUCAGUAAAGAGGUGGAAUGAUUUGAUUGAUCGUGUUGUGCAAUCAGAAUCUGCUUUACUCCUUACCACAUAUGAGCAACUACGCCUUCUAGGGGAGAAGUUGCUCGAUAUAGAGUGGGGAUAUGCCAUAUUGGAUGAGGGUCACCGUAUAAGAAAUCCUAAUGCUGAAAUAACUUUAGUUUGUAAACAGUUACAGACAGUGCACCGUAUAAUCAUGACUGGUGCACCAAUUCAGAACAAGCUUUCAGAACUUUGGUCCCUUUUCGAUUUUGUCUUCCCUGGAAAGCUAGGUGUUUUACCUGUAUUUGAGACAGAAUUCGCUGUUCCUAUUACAGUUGGUGGGUAUGCUAAUGCUACACCAUUGCAAGUGUCCACAGCUUACAGAUGUGCAGUUGUCUUGCGUGACUUGAUAAUGCCAUACCUUCUCAGGCGUAUGAAAGCUGAUGUGAACGCCCAACUUCCCAAGAAAACUGAGCAUGUCCUUUUCUGCAGCCUAACUUCAGACCAGCGAUCUGUUUAUAGGGCAUUCCUUGCUAGUUCUGAAGUGGAGCAAAUUUUUGAGGGCAAUAGAAACUCACUUUAUGGAAUAGAUAUCAUGCGUAAGAUUUGCAAUCAUCCUGAUCUUUUAGAAAGAGAACACUCUGCUCAGCAUCCGGACUAUGGGAAUCCAGAGCGGAGCGGAAAAAUGAAAGUGGUUGCUCAAGUUCUUAGGGUCUGGAAGGAGCAAGGACAUCAUGUUCUACUCUUCACACAGACUCAACAAAUGCUAGACAUUUUUGAAAACUUCUUGGCUGCAAGUGGGUAUAGCUAUCGGAGAAUGGAUGGACUUACUCCUGUAAAGCAGAGGAUGGCACUUAUGGACGAAUUUAACAACUCAUCUGAUGUCUUUAUUUUUAUCCUGACUACUAAAGUUGGUGGUUUAGGGACAAACUUGACUGGUGCUGACAGGGUUAUCAUAUAUGAUCCUGACUGGAAUCCUUCCACAGAUAUGCAGGCAAGAGAACGUGCUUGGCGGAUCGGGCAGAAACGGGAAGUAACAGUUUACAGGUUGAUCACACGCGGAACUAUAGAGGAGAAGGUGUACCAUAGGCAGAUUUACAAACAUUUCCUGACCAAUAAGAUAUUGAAGAACCCUCAGCAAAGAAGAUUCUUUAAAGCCAAAGACAUGAAGGAUCUCUUCAUGUUGCAAGAUGGUAGAGAGGGUGGUUCUACUGAGACUUCAGACAUAUUCAGCCAGUUGUUUGAAGAGGUAAAUGUUGGGAUUGGCAAUGGCUACCAACAUAAACAAGGGUCCUCCUCUGCAGCUUCUACUUGUCCUGUUGUGCCAGCUAGAGAAACAAACUCUCCAGGGCUUGGAGCAUCUAGCUCCAACAGCAAAGGAAAAGAUAUUGCUGGUCAGAGGAAUGGUGAAAUAGAUGAAGAAACAAAUAUAUUGAAGAGUCUUUUUGAUGCUCAUGGGAUUCAUAGUGCAAUGAAUCAUGAUGCUAUUAUGAAUGCCAAUGACGAUGAUAAGUUGAGGCUGGAGGAGCAAGCUUCCCGAGUUGCACGAAGGGCAGCUGAAGCGUUGCGUGAAUCAAGAAGGCUCAGAAGCCGUGACAGUUUUUCUGUUCCAACAUGGACAGGAAGAUCAGGUGCUGCUGGGGCACCAUCAUCUGUCUGUAGGAAGUUUGGGUCUAGUGUGAAUACUCAAUUACUUGGUCCUUCAAAACCAUCACAAGGGUCUGCAAGUAGGCCUCCUGGUUUAGCAGCUGGAGCUUCCACCGGUAAGGCACUGUCUUCAGCUGAACUCUUGGCUAGAAUCCAUGGAACUCAAGAAAGAGCAGUUGAUGAUGCACUCGAGCAAGAUCUAGAUUUGGCAUCUAGUUUGAAUCAGAGAGCGAGAAUUCCCGAAGACACUCUGGCAUCAAAGCCUUCCCAUAGGUAUAUGGUGGUCCAACCUGAGAUCUUGAUCCGCCAACUAUGCACCUUCAUACAACAGAGGGGUGGGCAAACUGAUUCUGCUAGCAUAACACAGCACUUCAAGGACAGAAUACAGUCAAAAGAUUUACCUCUGUUCAAGAAUCUUCUCAAGGAGAUAGCUACGCUACAGAAAGAUGCUGGUGGAUCUAGAUGGGUUUUAAAGCCAGAAUAUCGGUAGAUGAAGCAUCAUAGAUUUACUGUUCCCUGGUAGACGCAUGCUGCUAUAAAGCUGCAUUAAAUAGUAGGAAAUUGUUGUUUGAGUUGGUAAAACAGCCCAGAAAUGUGAUCCUUCGUUUUUUUCUUCAACUUCCACAGCUUCUAUGGUACCUGCAUAGAGCCGUUGGGAUGAAGUUUUGUUUUACUAAAUUCACAGGUUAAAUCAAGUAUAUUCUUCACUUUACCUUUUACCAUUUUGGAGAGGGGACAGAUGUUAAAAAGAUAAUGACACUAUUCAGGUGUCAUGCUGUACAUAUUAUAGAUUUUCAAUCCAUUGGAAAAAGAAAUUUAUAAAGAGGCAGGUAAAAUGUACAUCAGAGAACAGUACAAACAGACAGCAUAGGUUGGAUCUUCUCUCUUUUCCUACCGGUAGCAGAUAAUAUCAGAGAUACAAUCCCAGCCUGAUCUCCAAGCACUUCGCAAAUUAGAUGAACGCCAACAUGUCCAUGGUUCGUGGAGGCUCCUAGACUUCGUAGUCAUACUUGUGUUUGGCGUGGUCAGACAUUGCACAAUGCUGAAGAGGUAACAUCUCCAUAUCAAGGAGGAACAUAUCAGGAGUAGGUUCUAUCAAAGCUCCGAAGUUCUCAUGCAUCAUUUCCCUCCCCAAAAAAGGGAGGGGGAGAAAGAGAGAGAGAUGACAGGGAGGGAGAGAGGGAGAGGUUCCAGAAGAAAAGUUGAUCGAUCAACUCACAAGUUUCUACAAAGCAAUAUCAGAUGAUUUGUAUCCUCUUAUUUUUAACUAUUAUCUCAUUGAUCCACACUUGCUGUUAAACAUUUACUUCAAGAAGUUCAAGGAAUAUUAAGAA